UUGCAGCGACCUCAAAUUUAAAUCAUUAAAUUUGUCCAUUUAUCGAUCCUCACCACAGUUCUGACCAUGCGCGCUUACGCAAGCAUAAAUAAUUUUACCCGUCGACUCGCGUUGCGCGACAAAUAAUUAAGCUUAUGUACAGGUGUGGAUCAUGAGUCAUCCUCACCUGAAAAGCCCUUUAUUAAAUUUCGCCAAUUGUUAGGCAAUCAAAAAAAUGGUUAAGCUUUCAAUUAUGAAUGUGCGAUGUUAUUACACAGGGGAAAUUGAGGGUGUGGCUUAACCAAAUUCAUUGGCUUGUUUGUUCAAUGGAGAAUUCGACCUUCUCAUUAUUGACCAACAUUUUUGAGAAUGUUUUGGGAACAUAAUUUUGAUAUUCCAAUAACAUAAUUUAAAGUUUCACGACAAUGGUUCGAACCCAUGACUUCCGAUUUUGAGGUGUACUCACUACACCAUACGGAAAGUCAUGAAGAAUUGCAGAGGUCUGCAUAAUUUAAUUCAUGAGGUUCAUCGAUGCUUCUCAUCGAAACGGACCACUUUUAGUAGAACAAAAUUUAGUAGAGUUUUCGGGGACUGACUAUAAAAACCCCAAAAUUCUUGAGGAGGGCAGUUAGUUCCAGUCAGUUCCAGUCAGUUCCAGCCAGUUCAAGCCCAGUCCAGUUCCAGAUCCUGAAGAAGCCCCAGACCAGCCGGACCCGCCAGCAGCCACCAGUAGCAGAGGCCCCAGUCCAGCCGGACUUAGCGGUGGAGGCCGCAGUCCGCCGGGACUUAGCCGCUGUGAAGAGUCCGCCGGGACUUAGCCGCUGUGAAGAGUCCGCCGGGACUUAGCCGCUGUGAAGAGUCCGCCGGGACUUAGCCGCUGGGAAGAGUCCGCCGGGACUUAGCCGCCGUGGAGUCAACCAGGGACGUAGCAGAGUUCGGGUCUGGCAUGGCUCGGUGAAGAGGUCUGGAGGACAAGUCUGGCUUCAACGUAGAGAACUGGUUCGACGAAGAUCUCAAUGCAAAGUGAUGUGAUCGUGCGCGUAAAAGUUGAAAGUGUUACCGCAAAAAUGUAAUCUUCAAAAAGUGUAAUAUACAGAUAAGUGAAGUUUACUGAUCUGUUUUGACUCUAUGAGUAAAUAUCACAAAAAUCCUGAAAGCCUAAACCGCUCGGGCCGUUCAGGUGGUGACUAGCGGAAAGCAACGCUGUGUGUGUUUGGACACGCCAUUAUGAUUGGACAAAACCGAGAGUUGAAAAUGUGACUAUGUGUGAAAAUUAAUGAACAAAAUGAUUUCGCGAAGUAACAAACAGUUAAAAUAGUGUAAAAAAAACGUUAAAUUGAAGAAAAUGUUAUGUGAGGAGUUCUAAGAUGGAAGCAAAUGUGCAGCAGUACGAGAUGGAACCAAAACGGGCUCGACCAAUGGCAGAAGCAUCGAAAAUUUCAAAACCGGCCAACGAUGGACAACACUAGGGAUUCAACAAUGACGAGAUCAUCUGGAUCAACUGGAGACGAAAUUCAGCCGCAUCGAACACCCAAGAAGACGACCAUGGAAAUCUGGCAGUUUAGGAAUUUAUUUUCAGAAUGUUAUAUGCUUAUACGAAGGAUUUACAGGAAACCAUUGGAAGACGAUCAAGAAGACAACAAUUUCAACAAGAACGAAUAUGAACUACAGCUCAAGGAAAGGUAAAAUUUGUAAGUAUAUCGUGGGGAAUCAAAAAAGAUCGAAAAGGACGGUAAAAGUUCCGAUCUAGGGAUACAUAAACUGAUAAAGCAACGCCAAAGGGAUUAAAAAAGUAGACAAUUGUACUCUAUGGGGAGAGUUUUAUGUCGAAUAAAGCUUCAAACAGUUGUAAUCCAUGGGGGGAUUCAAUAAGUUAAAAACAUUUCAAAACAUUUGCACUUUACGGGGAUAGUCAAAUGAAAAUUAAAGGGAAUGGAUAAAUAACGCUUCAAGGGGAAAAUCAAGGGAUAAAAUAAUGCUUCAAGGGAAAAACACCUUUAAACUGAUAAAAUUCAGAGGAAAAAAAUCAGAUCGUUAUCAUUAGAAUGAUAAUUGAACCAACUAAUUAUCUUGCAAAUUCAGCAUUUAUUGCAAAUUGCUAAAAUAAACAAAUUAAUUUAAUGGGUUUGACAAAUUUGAAAACACAAAGUGAUGUACAGAUUUCAUAAAAAGUUGGAAGAACAGAAUGGAUAUUUUAACAUACGCAGUAUUGCAAUGACAAGAUGAUAGGAUGUAUAGAUCAAUGAAAAACUUUAUAGAGUAAUUUUUUUUUAUUCAAGUAUAAAAAUAAUAGUCAAUUAGAACUGAUUUCUUUUUGUAUUAAAAAUAAUAGAACUGAUUUCAUAUAAAAAUAUCAACAAGAUUUAUAAGAUUGUAAGUAAAUUUGAUUUUCAAUUUUGCACAGAAAUUAAAUGAUAGAUUCCUGAAAAUUAUAAAAUAUUGUUCAUGCGAAGAAAACAAGUAAGACAUUUUUGUGGGAGAAACAAAUGUAGAAACUGAAGUAAAAUAUGACAGAGACGGGAGACGAAACACAAGGAUGAUCGACGCGUUCGUAUGCUGAGAGGUUCUACGCGUUCGUAUGCAGAAGUUUGUGAUGGCAAGAUGGGGAGUGGCAAAGUCAUGCGGGAGGUUGGACAGGUAACGGUGUUGAUGUUGUUGUAAAAGGUCAUAUCAAUGAGGAUCAAGUCGAAUUAAAUCGCACUUUUUGUAACGAGACAUUCACGUAAAACAAAUUACUAAAUCGAAAUGUGGAAUUAAGCGAAGUAAAGAUGAUUGAAACAUCAAUAAUGGAACAAAAAUGCAAGUUGAGAUCAUACUGCACGUCUGAAACUAUUGAAAAGGAGAAGAUCAUGGUAAACAAAUGAUAACAUCAUCCGAUGUCAUUAAUUUACAAAGGCCAAAGUUGCAAAUUACACGAAAAGACAAUUUUGGACAAACAACAUUUCCUAAACAUUUGAAAAAAGAAUUACAUCAACCGAUGUCAAUAAUUUGAGAUUGUCAAAGAUACAAAGCAACUGGAAAAGUCAAUUUUGGACAAAAAUACUGGAUUCACGAACAAUUCACAAUACUCAGCAAAUGAGAAGUCAAUGCACUCUCAAAACUGACCAUAGUCAACUCACAGCUGGGUUAUGAAGCAUAAUUCAUGAUGGAAACGACAAUUGCACUAAUUGACGAAAUUCAACACCUUAGCCUCGAAAACGAACCAAUUGACCAAGUCACUGUGGAAUGAAUAGCCUCACGAUAAAGACAAUUUUUGAUGGAAGACGACAACGAUUACAACCAGCCGAUCAACACAGUUCUACAACAGAUUUUGUUUAAAAAAAAAUGCAAUGAUUUUUUUUAGAAGAGAUAAUGAAAAUUAAUUUCAAAUGCAAGUUUAUGUAAAUCAGUUUCAACGAAAAUAAUUUUACAAGAGAAGUUCAAAACAGUAAUUCAAGUAAUUUAACAGGACCAAAGAUCAAAAGAGUAAUGAAAAUAAUUUUACAGUAGAAAAAUCAAAAGAGCAAUUAUAAUUAUAAAGCAAUUUUCAAGAAACCACAAGAAGAACAAAUUGUAAACCGCACGAUCACUACACCCGACAAUAUUCUUUCCAUAGAUGAUCAUUUCUUUCAGACGAUCAUCUAGCUGAUAAGUGUGGGGGAGAUUAACCGAACCAAUUUUUUUAAAUAAUUUUUUUUAUAGCCAGCCAAUUAUAUUUUUUAUGAUUUUUUGCAAAGUUUUUUUUUUCACAAAUCAAAUUAUUAGUUUUGGGAAUAUUCUUUCAACCUACAAAUAACUUUCGAUAGAUGUUCUUAAUGCUUUUCAAGUAUACAAACAUCUAGCUGGUAAGUGUGGGGGAAUGCAGCGACCUCAAAUUUAAAUCAUUAAAUUUGUCCAUUUAUCGAUCCUCACCACAGUUCUGACCAUGCGCGCUUACGCAAGCAUAAAUAAUUUUACCCGUCGACUCGCGUUGCGCGACAAAUAAUUAAGCUUAUGUACAGGUGUGGAUCAUGAGUCAUCCUCACCUGAAAAGCCCUUUAUUAAAUUUCGCCAAUUGUUAGGCAAUCAAAAAAAUGGUUAAGCUUUCAAUUAUGAAUGUGCGAUGUUAUUACACAGGGGAAAUUGAGGGUGUGGCUUAACCAAAUUCAUUGGCAUGUUUGUUCAAUGGAGAAUUCGACCUUCUCAUUAUUGACCAACAUUUUUGAGAAUGUUUUGGGAACAUAAUUUUGAUAUUCCAAUAACAUAAUUUAAAGUUUCACGACAAUGGUUCGAACCCAUGACUUCCGAUUUUGAGGUGUACUCACUACACCAUACGGAAAGUCAUGAAGAAUUGCAGAGGUCUGCAUAAUUUAAUUCAUGAGGUUCAUCGAUGCUUCUCAUCGAAACGGACCACUUUUAGUAGAACAAAAUUUAGUAGAGUUUUCGGGGACUGACUAUAAAAACCCCAAAAUUCUUGAGGAGGGCAGUUAGUUCCAGUCAGUUCCAGUCAGUUCCAGCCAGUUCAAGCCCAGUCCAGUUCCAGAUCCUGAAGAAGCCCCAGACCAGCCGGACCCGCCAGCAGCCACCAGUAGCAGAGGCCCCAGUCCAGCCGGACUUAGCGGUGGAGGCCGCAGUCCGCCGGGACUUAGCCGCUGUGAAGAGUCCGCCGGGACUUAGCCGCUGUGAAGAGUCCGCCGGGACUUAGCCGCUGUGAAGAGUCCGCCGGGACUUAGCCGCUGGGAAGAGUCCGCCGGGACUUAGCCGCCGUGGAGUCAACCAGGGACGUAGCAGAGUUCGGGUCUGGCAUGGCUCGGUGAAGAGGUCUGGAGGACAAGUCUGGCUUCAACGUAGAGAACUGGUUCGACGAAGAUCUCAAUGCAAAGUGAUGUGAUCGUGCGCGUAAAAGUUGAAAGUGUUACCGCAAAAAUGUAAUCUUCAAAAAGUGUAAUAUACAGAUAAGUGAAGUUUA